UACGUAGGGUGCAAGCGUUGUCCGGAAUUAUUGGGCGUAAAGAGCUCGUAGGCGGUUUGUCGCGUCUGCUGUGAAAACUCAGGGCUUAACCCUGAGCCUGCAGUGGGUACGGGCAGACUAGAGUGUGGUAGGGGAGAUCGGAAUUCCUGGUGUAGCGGUGGAAUGCGCAGAUAUCAGGAGGAACACCGGUGGCGAAGGCGGAUCUCUGGGCCAUAACUGACGCUGAGGUGCGAAAGCGUGGGGAGCAAACAGG
rnacentral:rRNA from 1 species